rnacentral:misc_RNA from 1 species
GUGAAUCAUCGAAUCUUUGAACGCAAAUUGCACUCCCUGGUAUUCCGGGGAGUAUGCCUGUUUGAGGGUCUUUAAAACAAAAAUCGAAGGGUCGCUCUUUUUUUUAAGGGGGAUCGGGUGGGAAUGGAGCCGUCUUUCAAAGUUUAAUUAAUGUCAAAGUGGCUUGAAAUCCACCCACCCGGUCCGAUUAAAACGUAUUUAAGAUAAA